GCAAUCCGUGACCCAGUGACCAGCAUUUACUCGGAGAGAAACUGACCUUAGACUGGUAAAUAAACACGUCCAAAGUCCCAGAGCUGGCAGCUGGCGGGGUCUGUGUUGAACCAGGUUUGUCAACUCCAGAACCACCUGCUUUUAACUCUGACAGAAGAGGUGAGGCUCGAGGGACCACUGAAGGUAGGGCACAGGCCAGGCAGAGAGCAAAGGCACGAGGCAGAGCCUGAGACCGGCUGAGCCGAGGGGAGCGAGGGGAGGCAAGCCCGGAGCCAGGGAGCCCCGGAGGAGGCUGGAACAGACCGAGGCCUCCACGCCAGGGUGGGGGCCCCUGCAAAAGAGAUAAGGGAAUGGAUUGGGACGUGAAUUAGGGGGGAAAACCUAUUGGAAACGUUGGUCCAAUCAAACAGAAGGACAGACUUGGAGGGUGAAAGAGAGACAGGUGCCAAGGAUCACGCCCAGACUUCUGAUGGAUGCUCUCCGAGGGGGAGACCACAGCCGGAAGGCAGGGAGGGGCGUUGCAGUGCGUCCGGUCAAGCCUGCACAUGUGGAGAUGGAGUGGCCCGGGAGGCAUCCACGCAGAGACGUUCACGCUGUGCUCGGGUUUGUGGCUCCCAAGACAAGCCCACACUGGAGAGGUGGCUGUGCGCCUAUGGAUGAUAAGAAAAUUAAUUGAUCUGAAAUUACAAUGCUUUGAAGUGGUGUAUUUAGGACUUGGAACUUGGCCUGUCUGAUUCCAAAACUUAUGCUUUUCCCACUAAGAAAAGCCCAAUCCUGCCUGAAAUCCCUGCAGAAGCUACCUCCUCCAGUGCAGCCUCAGCAGUGUCACUCUCUGACAAUCAGCUGUUUUGCCUCCCUACCUGCCCUGCGCCAGGCCACCAGCACUGCGAGGACACAGACUGUUAAAUUCAUCUUCUUGUUCCCGACCAUCAGCACAGUGCCUGGGCCACGGAAGGCAUCAAGAAUAAACCAUGCCUCUCACUUGCAAAUCUAAAA